CGUAGGCGCAAGCGUUAUCCGGAUUAUUGGGCGUAAGGGCUCGUAGGCGGCUCGUCGCGUCCGGUGUGAAAGUCCAUCGCUUAACGGUGGAUCUGCGCCGGGUACGGCGGGCUGGAGUGCGGUAGGGAGACUGGAAUUCCCGGUGUAACGGUGGAAUGUGUAGAUAUCGGGAAGAACACCGAUGGCGAAGGCAGGUCUCUGGGCCGUCACUGACGCUGAGGAGCGAAAGCGUGGGGAGCGAACAGGAUU
rnacentral:rRNA from 1 species